GAGGCAGUAUCCGGCCGGAAUUGCACUCCUGCGUUUUGUGUUUUCCCAACUGAAAAGCUGCUUUAUGCUAUAUGUCGGAUUCUGCUCUGAGCCUAACCGGACCGAGACAGAAGG
rfam:Paenibacillus naphthalenovorans strain 32O-Y, complete genome.